rnacentral:misc_RNA from 1 species
GAUGAAGAACGUAGCGAAAUGCGAUAAGUAAUGUGAAUUGCAGAAUUCAGUGAAUCAUCGAAUCUUUGAACGCACAUUGCGCCCGCCAGUAUUCUGGCGGGCAUGCCUGUCCGAGCGUCAUUUCAACCAUCAAGCCCCGGGCUUGUGUUGGGGACCUGCGUCCGACGCAGGCCCUGAAAACCAGUGGCAGGCUCGCUGUCCACACCGAGCGUAGUAACUAACCUCGCUAUGGAGUGGCGCGGGCGCCUGCCGUAAAACCCCCAAUUUCACAAGGUUGACCUCGGAUCAGGUAGGAAUACCCGCUGAACUUAAGCAUAUCAAUAAGCGGAGGA